rnacentral:rRNA from 1 species
GAUGAACGCUGGCGGCGUGCUUAACACAUGCAAGUCGAACGAUGAAGCUCAGCUUGCUGGGUGGAUUAGUGGCGAACGGGUGAGUAACACGUGAGUAACCUGCCCUUAACUCUGGGAUAAGCCUGGGAAACUAGGUCUAAUACCGGAUAGGAGCGCCUACCGCAUGGUGGGUGUUGGAAAGAUUUAUCGGUUUUGGAUGGACUCGCGGCCUAUCAGCUUGUUGGUGAGGUAAUGGCUCACCAAGGCGACGACGGGUAGCCGGCCUGAGAGGGUGACCGGCCACACUGGGACUGAGACACGGCCCAGACUCCUACGGGAGGCAGCAGUGGGGAAUAUUGCACAAUGGGCGAAAGCCUGAUGCAGCGACGCCGCGUGAGGGAUGACGGCCUUCGGGUUGUAAACCUCUUUCAGUAGGGAAGAGGCGAAAGUGACGGUACCUGCAGAAGAAGCACCGGCUAACUACGUG